UACGUAGGGUCCGAGCGUUGUCCGGAAUUAUUGGGCGUAAAGAGCUCGUAGGCGGUUUGUCGCGUCUGCUGUGAAAUCCCGAGGCUCAACCUCGGGUCUGCAGUGGGUACGGGCAGACUGGAGUGCGGUAGGGGAGAAUGGAAUUCCUGAUGUAGCGGUGGAAUGCGCAGAUAUCAGGAGGAACACCGAUGGCGAAGGCAGUUCUCUGGGCCGUAACUGACGCUGAGGAGCGAAAGCGUGGGGAGCGAACAGG
rnacentral:rRNA from 1 species